rnacentral:rRNA from 1 species
CAGUAGCCACGGUAAUACAGAGGGUGCGAGCGUUAAUCGGAUUUACUGGGCGUAAAGCGUGCGUAGGCGGCUUUUAAGUCGGAUGUGAAAUCCCUGAGCUUAACUUAGGAAUUGCAUUCGAUACUGGGAAGCUAGAGUAUGGGAGAGGAUGGUAGAAUUCCAGGUGUAGCGGUGAAAUGCGUAGAGAUCUGGAGGAAUACCGAUGGCGAAGGCAGCCAUCUGGCCUAAUACUGACGCUGAGGUACGAAAGCAUGGGGAGCAAACAGGAUUAGAUACCCGUGUAGUCCCUGUCUCUUAUACA